ensembl:lncRNA
GUUUUUUUUAUUGUGUAAUUUUUUUCAUGUUAGUGUUUAAAUUUAACAAUGUAGGAGGAGAUGAAUAUUUUGUCAUCUCAGUACUGUAUGAAUGUGAAGCAUGAAGCUGAAUAGGAGCAUCAAGAAAGUGAAAUCUGCUUGAUAGGCAACAGAAUAGUGACUGGAACUGAAGAGGCAGCUAUCCACCCUGUAUCUACACAUGGUGCUGAGUUCACUGGUGGGCACGUGGCUGAGGGAACACCACCUGCACCUGGCUCCCUGCUGGCACGCACCCUGGGCACCACAGAGGUUCCUCAGAGCAUUUUGCUGUUACGUGAAGCAGAUGCAGGCCAUAUCCCGCUAAUCUGCACAGCCAUGAGAGAUGGGAUUGGAGCGAUUUUAACUCUUUGGCACUUUGUCAAAAGCCUGCAGGUACCCGCUGUUCUGCUUGGUCUGUACCAACCUGUUUCCAUCUCUACCAGACUCUUUCCACUGUUGCCAAGCAUGGGGCACCUUUACAGAGGCCAGGAGAGGAGCAACCUCUGCUCACCAGGGAUGCAAGUCAGGAGCAGAGACCUCUGUCAUCUACUGCUAGUACUCCCUGAAGAAUUAACUGUCAUGAAUGUGAUGAGUCCAUGCUCUGUCCAUGCAACCAUUCCCAUAGCUUCAAACAAGCAGUCUUAUGUGGAAAACAUAAGUGAGUCUCAAACAGAAGUCUUACGAAGAAGACAUACACACAAAACCGAUGGCAACAAAAAGAAAGUAUCCCUGGGGAGCUCUGUACCCUUCAGUUUCCACCUGCCCUUCCUUG